UCCGGUUGAUCCUGCCRGACCCGACUGCUAUCAGAGUAGGACUAAGCCAUGCGAGUCAACGCCGCAAGGCGUGGCAUACGGCUCAGUAACACGUAGUCAACAUGCCCAAAGGACGUGGAUAACCUCGGGAAACUGAGGAUAAACCGCGAUAGGCCAAGGUUUCUGGAAUGAUCCCUGGCCGAAAUCUAUAUGGCCUUUGGAUUGGACUGCGGCCGAUCAGGCUGUUGGUGAGGUAAUGGCCCACCAAACCUGUAACCGGUACGGGAUUUGAGAGAAGGAGCCCGGAGAUGGGCACUGAGACAAGGGCCCAGGCCCUAUGGGGCGCAGCAGGCGCGAAACCUCUGCAAUAGGCGAAAGCCUGACAGGGUUACUCUGAGUGAUGCCCGCUAAGGGUAUCUUUUGGCACCUCUAAAAAUGGUGCAGAAUAAGGGGUGGGCAAGUCUGGUGUCAGCCGCCGCGGUAAUACCAGCACCCCGGGUUGUCGGGACGAUUAUUGGGCCUAAAGCAUCCGUAGCCUGUUCUGCAAGUCCUCCGUUAAAUCCACCUGCUCAACGGAUGGGCCGCGGAGGAUACCGCAGAGCUAGGAGGCGGGAGAGGCAAACGGUACUCAGUGGGUAGGGGUAAAAUCCAUUGAUCUACUGAAGACCACCAGUGGCGAAGGCGGUUUGCCAGAACGCGCUCGACGGUGAGGGAUGAAAGCUGGGGGAGCAAACCGGAUUAGAUACCCGGGUAGUCCCAGCUGUAAACGAUGCAGACUCGGUGAUGGGUUGGCCUCGAGCCAACCCAGUGCCGCAGGGAAGCCGUUAAGUCUGCCGCCUGGGGAGUACGGUCGCAAGACUGAAACUUAAAGGAAUUGGCGGGGGAGCACCACAAGGGGUGAAGCCUGCGGUUCAAUUGGAKUCAACGCCGGRA
rnacentral:rRNA from 1 species